UACGUAGGGGGCAAGCGUUGCCCGGAAUCAUUGGGCGUAAAGAGCGCGUAGGCGGUCCGGUAAGUCAGCUGUGAAAGUCAAGGGCUCAACCCUUGAAAGCCGGUUGAUACUGUCGGGCUAGAGUCCGGAAGAGGCGAGUGGAAUUCCCGGUGUAGCGGUGAAAUGCGCAGAUAUCGGGAGGAACACCAAUGGCGAAGGCAGCUCGCUGGGACGGUACUGACGCUGAGGCGCGAAAGCGUGGGGAGCAAACAGG
rnacentral:rRNA from 1 species